UUGUUAAUGAAUCAAGAAAAGACAAAGGAACCUAAUUUUCCCUUAAUAAAAAGAAGCAAUUAAAUAAAUGAUAUUUGAUGUUUAAGAAAAGAAUAAGAGAAUACCAUCCCAACUUGUCUAUGAGGUCACCAUAUCGGAUAUUACCCCUAUUUAUAUCUGCACAUCAUAGACUUUCACUCUCUUAUCACAAAACAGAGAAGUUAAUGCUUUCUAUAUGGGGAAAGAGAGAAACAAAGGAACAGUCUUCCUUGUUAUGUUCUUAGCUCUAAUGGUGGACGACAUCUUUCACACGAUUCACCCAAGUACAAUCUCCUCAAGCUCCCCGGAAGUAUACCAGAUAUAUUAUCUGGAGGAAUAUUCAGGAGACUCUCUGUUUCUCUCCAAAGGUUCCAGAAGAUGACAAAAAAACUGAGGCAUGAGAGCAUGAAUUUGGUAGAUUUAUCCCGAUCAUCACCCCCAAGCGUUUUGUGUAAUAUAAAAGAACUGAAAACCAUAAACAUGUCGUAGAUUCUGAACUCCCAUCAUUAAAACAUAAAUAAACUUUUAGUAUAUAGUUAA